CAAAUCUGAAGGUUUCCGCUAUAUUUUCAGGCAGCUCAAACCUUUUCCCCAUUCUGAUGAACACUGACUCAGUCUUGCCUAAGUUCAGUUUGAACCUUGCUUUAUCUAAGACUUAACUUCCUGUAAAUGUGCUGCCUUUUCAAUAAUAGUAGCAGCGCUGUAGCUGUUCACACCAAGUGUCUCUUGCAGUGUUAUCAGCAAUACCUCUGCCACCUUGGAGCAUCCACCAGUGAACCUGUGUAGCUAUGAGAGAAGAUGAAGGAUACGCUUGGACAGAAGACACAGCCAUAUAUCAUUCUGUGCUCUGCUUCAAAGAUGAUAUCACAGGGGGGAUUCCUGAGUUACGAGUGUACAGCUCAUACUACACAGUGCAUUACUAAGUACAGUACUGUCUUGCAGAAGCUAAAAACAACACAGCCCAACCAGGAACCCUCUCUACUUGGGAGUUACAGAGGGAUGGGGAUAAAGCCGUAAGACUGUCAGUCC
rnacentral:lncRNA from 1 species